rnacentral:rRNA from 1 species
UACGUAGGGGGCGAGCGUUGUCCGGAUUUAUUGGGCGUAAAGGGCGCGUAGGUGGCGCGAGUAGUCAACGGUGAAAGCCCGGGGCUCAACCCCGGGUCGGCCGUCGAUACUCUCGUGCUUGAGCACUGUAGAGGCAGGUGGAAUUCCGGGUGUAGCGGUGAAAUGCGCAGAUAUCAGGAAGAACACCCGUGGCGAAAGCGGCUCUCUGGAACGGUACUGACGCUGAGACGCGAAAGCGUGGGGAGCGAACAGG